GGAGUAAUAAUCCCAACAUGAACCAAUUUGACUUGGAAUCUGUGGCUGCUCAUGAAAUUGGUCAUCUUCUUGGGCUUGCACACAGUCAGGAUUCAAAUGCCAUUAUGUUUUCAAUAAUUCCAAUAGGGACUAUCAAAAGGGAACUCAUCCAAGAUGAUAUUGAUGGCAUACAUGCUCUCUACCCUAAUUAAUCAACCAUAAUCUUUGUUUUACAUGGAAUAAUCAAAAAGCAAUUAAUUCACGUGUUCAUGUUUAAUUAUCAAAUAUGAAAGGAUCUUAAUCCAUUGUAUAUGG
rnacentral:misc_RNA from 1 species